CAUUACUGCCAGGGGCGCAUUUAUUGCUGAGAUAGGUGAAAGCCUUGUCCCUUAGCAUCUGAUCUGGGUAAUACCAGCGUAGAGAGGCCGUACUUUUUUAGU
rfam:Catenibacterium sp. CAG:290 genomic scaffold, scf11